rnacentral:rRNA from 1 species
AUUGAACGCUGGCGGCAUGCCUUACACAUGCAAGUCGAACGGCAGCAUGAUCUAGCUUGCUAGAUUGAUGGCGAGUGGCGAACGGGUGAGUAAUACAUCGGAACGUGCCCUGUAGUGGGGGAUAACUAGUCGAAAGAUUAGCUAAUACCGCAUACGACCUGAGGGUGAAAGUGGGGGACCGCAAUGCCUCAUGCUAUAGGAGCGGCCGAUGUCUGAUUAGCUAGUUGGUGAGGUAAAGGCUCACCAAGGCGACGAUCAGUAGCUGGUCUGAGAGGACGAUCAGCCACACUGGGACUGAGACACGGCCCAGACUCCUACGGGAGGCAGCAGUGGGGAAUUUUGGACAAUGGGCGAAAGCCUGAUCCAGCAAUGCCGCGUGUGUGAAGAAGGCCUUCGGGUUGUAAAGCACUUUUGUCCGGAAAGAAAUGGCUCUGGUUAAUACCUGGGGUCGAUGACGGUACCGGAAGAAUAAGGACCGGCUAACUACGUG